rnacentral:rRNA from 1 species
AGAGCGAACGCUGGCGGCAGGCUUAACACAUGCAAGUCGAGCGGGCGUAGCAAUACGUCAGCGGCAGACGGGUGAGUAACGCGUGGGAACAUACCUUUUGGUUCGGAACAACACAGGGAAACUUGUGCUAAUACCGGAUAAGCCCUUACGGGGAAAGAUUUAUCGCCGAAAGAUUGGCCCGCGUCUGAUUAGCUAGUUGGUGAGGUAACGGCUCACCAAGGCGACGAUCAGUAGCUGGUCUGAGAGGAUGAUCAGCCACAUUGGGACUGAGACACGGCCCAAACUCCUACGGGAGGCAGCAGUGGGAAUAUUGGACAAUGGGCGCAAGCCUGAUCCAGCAAUGCCGCGUGUGUGAAGAAGGUCUUCGGAUUGUAAAGCACUUUCGACGGGACGAUGAUGACGGUACCCGUAGAAGAAGCCCCGGCUAACUUCGCGCCAGCAGCCGC